CGAAGCCCGGAGCAGGGCUGACCCCAGGGCCUCAAACCCGGAGGCCCGCGAGCUGCGCGGGCCGUCAGCACCCCUAGCCCCGGCGCGGCGGCGUGCGUUCCCGCCUUUGUCCAGCUCUGGGUUUUCAAACCUUGCCCCGCUGAACCAUUACUCCCUGUAGGGGAGUCUCGCUUGCUUCUCUUCAGAUGCAAAACGAAAUGGACCUUCACACAGCUGGGGCAUCCUCCAAAACAACUUUAUCAAGUUCCUGACUCUGAAAGCCAGCUUAUUGCCGACUACUGAGAACGAACCCUGCGGUCUAGGAAAUUUCCGUGCUUCUCACAUUUGAGUUAUGCGUCUUUGCUUUUUUUCACGUUUGUUGCAGAGGCUAGAACUUAAUAAGGGAUCGCAAAGAGAAGAGAACAGACUAAGACAGAAAAUUGGGACCAAGAAGUGGAGUUAUUUCUGUUACAAAUACUUGAAAUUGUGCAAGCAGCUUUGGAAUUCGGUAAUGAGUAGAGGCUACAAGAAUUUGGAGGAGCAAGCAAGAAAAGGUACAUAUUGCCAUGAACAGACCAUGAAGGACAAUUCUGAUGAAGGCUUAGAAAAAGAUCCCAGAAUUAGGAAAGUCUAAAUCUUCCUAAAAAUGUUGAGAAAAAUAUAGACAGUAACAGUCAUUCUGACAAGUUCCAGACAAAAAUGGGGAACAAGGUAUUGGAAACUGGAAUAAAGACCAUUCUUGUUAUAAGAUAGCAAAGACCUUGGCUGAAUUAUGCCUAUAUCCUAAGACUUUAUGGAAUGCAGAACUUAAAAGUGAUGAACUUGGAUAUAUGGUGGAAGAAAUAUCAAAGCAGUGAGCCAUUCAGACUUCUGUCUGGCUACUUUUAACUACAUGCAGUGAGAUAUGAGAGCAAAGGUAUUAACUAAUUUAAAGGGAAGCAGAGUGAAAAGAUUUGGAAAAUUUGCAUCUUGGCCAGAUAAAAACUGAAAAGCCUGUUCAGGAGAGAACACUAAGGGUGUGGAUGGUGACCAUUUGUUAAAGAGGUUAAUAUGAAUAAAGGGAGCCAGGUGCUACUCAUCAAGACAAUGGGAAAAGAUCCUGCAAGCAUUUCAGAGAUCUUCCAGGCUAACCCUGCCAACACAGAUCCAAUGCUGUAGGAGGGCAGAAUGGUUUUGAGCAAUGGGCCCUGAGUGCCCUCCAUGGGCUUGCCACCCAGAGCCACCUCACGUCUCUGCUCCACCCAUUUCAUUACAGUGCUCCUCAGACACCCUAGGUGUGACUUGACCUGUCACUCCAGAAGAUUCAAGUGGCAAAUCUUAGUGGCAUCCACAUGAUGUUAAGUCUGCAGGUGUCCAGAAUGCAAGAGCUGUAGGGGCAUGAUUUUCUCCAUCUAGAUUUCAAAGGAUGUUGCAUACGGCCUUUGGAGACCCAGACAGAGACUUGUCACAGGGCAGAUCUGCCAAAGAGAGCCCCCACCAGGGCAAUGCCUAAUGAAGCUGUGGAAGUGGGACUGCCACCAAGACCCCAGAACUACAGAGCCAACAGCAUACAUCAUCAACCCAAGAGAGCUGAGUCAUGGGCUGAGCCCAGCAAAGCUGUGGGGCUGUGGCUAACCAAGGCCAUGGUGGCCCAAUCCCUACAUCAGUGUGCUCAGGAUGUGGGAUAUAGAGUCAAAGGAGAUUGUUCUCUGGCUUUAUGACAUAAUGCUCUCUGUUGGGUUUUGGGCUUACUUGGGACCUCUUAUUUCUUCUUGCCUAUUUAUCCCUUUUGGAAUGAGAAUUUCUGUCUAAUGCCUGUCUCACCAUUGUAUUUUGGAAAUAGAUUUUACAGGCCCACAUCUGGAAGGAAUUUGCCUCAAGGUGAAUCAUGCUGUAAGUCUCAUCCAUAUCUGAUUUAGAUGAGACUUUGGACUUUAGAUUUUUGAGUUACUGCUGGAAUUAGUUAAGGCUUUGGGGGCCACUGGGAUGGAAUGAAUGUAUUUUGCACUGUGAAAAGUAUAUAUAUUUGGGGGGCCAUGGGUGGAAUGCUAUGGUUUGAAUAUUUCAUGUGUUGGAAAGUUAAUUUUCAACGCAACAGUGUUGGCAGGUGGGGCCUAAUAAGAGGUUAAUUGGGCCAUGAGGGCAGACCCCUCAUGAAUGGAUUAAUGUCAUUAUCCUAGUAAUGGGAUACUUUUUCUGAGGGUAAAUUAUUAUAAAAGUGAGUUUGGCCAAUUUGCUGUCUGUCUCACAUGCUUGCUUCCACCUUCUACCCUUCUACCAUGGGAGGACCCUCACCAGAUGCCAGUGCAAUGCUUAAACUUCCCAGCUUCCAGAAUUGUGAACCGAAUGAAAUUAUUUUCAUUAUAAAUUACCCAGGUUACAGCAACAAAACAUGAACUAAGACACAUUAUAAAAAGAAAAGCUGAAGGAUAAAUUAGUAGUCAUCUCACCCAACAGGCAGUGCUAUUCUUGGAGCAGAGUAUGGAAAAUUAACAGAAAGCCAAAGAAACGUGAAAGAAACCAAGGUUAAGGUUCCAGGUACUGAGUGUCUAGUACAUGCCAGAAAGCAGACUAGGUUCUUUAUAUCUACUAUCUUAAAGCCCUAGCAGCCUUACCAAAGUUCCUACAAGAAGAAAGUGGAAGCUUCCUUUGGUGGAGCCUAUACGACAGCUUUGGUGAAGCAUAUACUCAGCAGGGAUUCUGGAAGAAGGUUGUGGUCAGCUGAGAAGUUCCCAUGAGAUAAGUGCUAUCCAAUAGAACAAAAACGCCUUAAAUAUAUGUACAGUUGACCUUUGAACAACACAGGGGUUACAGAUGCCAACGCCGAUGCAGUGAAAAAUCUGAGUAUAACUUUUGACUCUUCAAAACACAAUUACUAAUAGCCUACUGUUGACCAGAAGCCUUAUUAGAAACAAUUAACACAUACUUUGUAUGUUAUACAUGUUAUAUAUUGAAUUAUUACAAUAAAGUAAGAUGGAGAAAAGAAAA